AUGGUUGUGACUGGCGGAUUCCAAUUAUCCUUAUUUACCGGCAUUCUGUCCCAGGUUCAGCCUCAGGAGUCGGGGCCAGGACUGGUGAAACGCUCCCAGCAGCUGUCCCUCACCUGCACUGUCUCUGGUGUCUCCAGCACCAGCACAGGUUACGACUGGAACUGGAUCUGCCAGACCUCAGAGAAUGGACUGCAAUGGAUGGGAUACAGAGAUUAUGAUGGUGGUACAGAUUAUAACCCAUCCUUCCUGAGCCGACCCUCUGUCGCCAGAGACACAUUGAGGAAUCAGUUCUCCAUGCAGCUGAGCUCCGUGACUGCUGAGGACACGGCCGUGUAUUACUGUACAUGGAGCACAGUUAGGGGAAGUCAGUGA